AUAUCAAUAAGCGGAGGAAAAGAAACCAACAGGGAUUGCCCUAGUAACGGCGAGUGAAGCGGCAACAGCUCAAAUUUGAAAUCUGGCCCUUUCAGGGUCCGAGUUGUAAUUUGCAGAGGGUGCUUCGGCGUCGGCCCCGGGCCAAGUCCCCUGGAACGGGGCGUCCUAGAGGGUGAGAACCCCGUACCCACCCGGGUGCCCUUCGCCGUGUGAAGCCCCUUCGACGAGUCGAGUUGUUUGGGAAUGCAGCUCUAAGCGGGAGGUAAAUUUCUUCUAAAGCUAAAUACCGGCCAGAGACCGAUAGCGCACAAGUAGAGUGAUCGAAAGAUGAAAAGCACUUUGGAAAGAGAGUUAAAAAGCACGUGAAAUUGUUGAAAGGGAAGCUCUUGCCGCCAGACUUGCCGCGGUUGCUCAGCCGCCCUCCGGGGCGGUGUACUCUUCCGUCGACAGGCCAGCGUCGGUUCGGGCGACCGGAUAAAGGCCUCGGGAAUGUAGCACCUCUCGGGGUGUGUUAUAGCCCGGGGCGCAAUGCGGUCAGCCCGGUCCGAGGCACGCGUUCGCGAGGACGCUGGCGUAAUGGCCGCAAGCGACCCGUCUUGAAACACGGACCAAGGAGUCUAACAUCUGUGCGAGUGUUUGGGCGUCAAACCCAUGCGCGUAAUGAAAGUGAACGGAGGUGGGAACCCCCUCGAGGGGCGCACCAUCGACCGAUCCUGAUGUCUUCGGAUGGAUUUGAGUAAGAGCAUAGCUGUUGGGACCCGAAAGAUGGUGAACUAUUCCCGGAUAGGGUGAAGCCAGAGGAAACUCUGGUGGAGGCUCGCAGCGGUUCUGACGUGCAAAUCGAUCGUCAAAUCUAGGAAUAGGGGCGAAAGACUAAUCGAACCAU
rnacentral:rRNA from 2 species